rnacentral:lncRNA from 1 species
CUGCCGCUCCGGCCUGGAACCCCAUCCCCUCGAAGAGCGCGUUGUCCACCGACAGGCUCCUAAGGUGGGUCCCCGGGACGGGCCUCCCGGACGGGGCCACCGCGAGGGGCGCCGGGCAUCCUCCUAUGUCGCCACCGCCGGAGACGUUGUCGUCGGACAGCGAGGGGAAGUCGAUGUCGGAGAUGCCGCAGUCGGGAUCGGCGUCGAAGAGGAGGUCGUCGGGAAGGUGGAGGAAUGUCUCGGAGAGAGCCCGCCGGUGGGCUCCGGCAACGGUGCCCCCGCGUGGAUUCGGCGGCGGCUGCGGCGGGAUCUGUCCGAACCGAUGUGCGGCGGUCGUCGGC